rnacentral:rRNA from 1 species
UACGUAGGGGGCGAGCGUUGUCCGGAUUCAUUGGGCGUAAAGCGCGCGUAGGCGGCUGCGCAAGUCGGUUGUGAAAUUCCGGGGCUCAACCCCGGAACUGCGUCCGAUACUGCGUGGCUAGAGGUAGGUAGGGGAGAUCGGAAUUCCUGGUGUAGCGGUGAAAUGAGUAGAUAUGAGGAGGAACACCGGUGGCGAAGGCGGAUCUCUGGGCCUGACCUGACGCUCAGGCGCGAAAGCUAGGGGAGCGAACAGG